UGGAAUUGCUAGUAAUGGCAGGUCAGCAUACUGCCGUGAAUACGUUCCCGGGCCUUGUACACACCGCCCGUCACACCAUGGGAGUCGGAAAUGCCCGAAGUCAGUGACCCAACCUGCAAGGGAGGGAGCAGCCGAAGGCAGGUCGGAUGACUGGGGUGAAGUCGUAACAAGGUAUC
rnacentral:rRNA from 1 species